rnacentral:lncRNA from 7 species
AGCGACCUCUCGGGCGGCGCUGGCCGCUGGGCACUGGGCAGGCAGCAACGACGACGGACGGAAUACAAGCUUCGUGGUGCGGCUACUACUGUAGCUUGGCAGUACCGCAGUAGUAUGGCAUCCGCUCUUCGUGCAUCGCCUCGUUUCGUGUGCUUUGUCAGCAUCAGCAAUGGCUACGCCUACGGACGUCAGGAUAUCUUCAGUACCGCGCGCGGGUGCUCUUGCAGCGUUUCAACGCGCGCAAAGAUUGGCCGGCCGGGCCCGGGAGCCCGGAGGCCAUCUCUUCUCUGACGAUGCAAGCCUUUGGCCCUUUGCAUCUUUUGUUCUCUUUUCUGAACCAGCUGCCUCAUUUCUCGCAGGGCUGAACAUGCGUGUAUUGCCAAUGCCAUUUGGCAUGGCACGGCAACGGAGGUAGUACGCGUGUAGUGUCACUGCGUCAGUGUCUGAUUGCGAUGGGCCGUAGGACCAACAUGGCGUCGGAUUCCGGACAAGCUCGGAUGAGGAAUGCAAGAUCGCGCAAGUACCAAUACCAGGUCCGCGUCACCAAUCCGACACAUGGUUACAAUUCGGAUUCAGGACAGAAAAUACAAUACAACUACUACCGCUGGCGCUGAUGGACGCUGCUAGUUCUUGGCCGGUCUAGUCAGGGGGUUUUUAGCUUCUGGCUUGUGGGGAGCACAUUUGCAGACACGCGAGCUAUGGAUCAAUAUUGCUGUCGUUUAGUUCACAAAAUAUAACGUAAAUGGUAAUAAUAAUUUACAUUUCAUACAGGUGAUAAAGUUUAAAGAGACCGAUAUUUCGUUCGAUACAUCAAUUCAGCUGAGCCAACACACCGUUGCUCCAGCAGUCCAGCUGCAUGAAAAGAAGUUUGAUGCCAUUGCAAAGCUGCGAUGCAUGGGGCAUGAUGCCAUCAUUAUUGGUCUCCUCUGCCCUCCCACAAUUGCCGCUGGUCGCUGGACCUCCACCAUGCGUUAAUGCGUACCAUCGGCUUGGUCUGGAUUGGUUCGGUGCCCUUUCACACUCCUGCUCUUUUCUCCCUGCGCCUUUAGCCCUUUCUCUUUUCUAAUGACGAUGCGUUUCUUCAAAAAAAAAAAAAAAUCUUAGCCAGUAAGAAACCCACAAAACCUGAACCUCAGUUUG